UAGCCAAGGACAACUUGCCG
rnacentral:snRNA from 1 species